rnacentral:rRNA from 1 species
CUUACACCAUAAACGCCAGGGCACUACGAGCUUUAGCUUAAAACCCAAAGGACUUGACGGUGUCCUAUCCAACUAGAGGAGCCUGUUUUAUAAUCGAUAAUCCACGAUAUACCUAACCAUUUUUUGUUAAUCAGCCUGUAUACCUCCGUCGUAAGCUUACCGUAUGAAUAUAUAACAGUAGGCCCAAAGACUUAAACGCCACAACGUCAGGUCAAGGUGCAGCUUAUAAAAUGGAAACAAUGGGCUACAAUUUCUAAUCUAGAACAAACGAAACACUACAUGAAACAUAGUCAUGAAGGAGGAUUUAGCAGUAAGUAAUAAAUAGAGAGUUUUACUAAAUUUGGCCCUAGGACGUGUACAAACCGCCCGUCACCCUCUUCAAUAGCCUUUAAUUAUAAUAUAUAAUACAUAUUUUGCGUUUUAGAAGAGGUAAGUCGUAACAUGGUAAGUAUACUGGAAAGUGUGCUUGGAAACAAAAUGUAACUUAAUUAAAGUCUCUCGCUUACACCGAGAAAAUAUCCGUGAAAUCCUGAUCAUUUUGAGCCUAAAAUCUAGCUUUUUUACUACUACAUAUUUACACCCUUUAAUAUUAUCUUAAUAAAACAUUUUAACUUUACAGUAGAGGUGAUCAAAAAAUAUAUAAGCGCUUUAGAAAUAGUACCGCAAGGGAAAGAUGAAAUAGCAAUGAAAUAACUUAAAGC